rnacentral:rRNA from 1 species
GACGAACGCUGGCGGCGUGCUUAACACAUGCAAGUCGAACGGAAAGGCCCUGCUGUUGUGGGGUUCUCGAGUGGCGAACGGGUGAGUAACAAGUGAGUAACCUGCCCUUGACUUUGGGAUAACUUCAGGAAACUGGGGCUAAUACCGGAUAGGAGCUCCUGCUGCAUGGUGGGGGUUGGAAAGUUUCGGCGGGUGGGGAUGGACUCGCGGCUUAUCAGAUUGUUGGGGGGGUAGUGGCUUACCAAGGCUUUGACGGGUAGCCGGCCUGAGAGGGUGACCGGCCACAUUGGGACUGAGAUACGGCGCAGACUCCUACGGGAGGCAGCAGUGGGGAAUAUUGCACAAUGGGCGGAAGCCUGAUGCAGCAACGCCGCGUGCGGGAUGACGGCCUUCGGGUUGUAAACCGCUUUCGCCUGUGACGAAGCGUGAGUGACGGUAAUGGGUAAAGAAGCACCGGCUAACUACGUG